rnacentral:rRNA from 1 species
GAUCAUGGACUCAGAUUGAACGCUGCGGCAUGCCUUACACAUGCAAGUCGAACGGCAAGCGCGGGGCAACCUGGCGGCGAGUGGCGAACGGGUGAGUAACAUAUCGGAACAUACCCUAGAUGGGGAUAACGUAGCGAAAGUUACGCUAAUACCGCAUACGCACUAAGGUGGAAAGUGGGGGAUUCGCAAGAACCUCAUGCUCAUGGAGUGGCCGAUAUCUGAUUAGCUAGUUGGUGAGGUAAAGGCUCACCAAGGCGACGAUCAGUAGCUGGUUUGAGAGAACGACCAGCCACACUGGAACUGAGACACGGUCCAGACUCCUACGGGAGGCAGCAGUGGGGAAUUUUGGACAAUGGGGGCAACCCUGAUCCAGCAAUGCCGCGUGAGUGAAGAAGGCCUUCGGGUUGUAAAGCUCUUUUGUCAGGGAAGAAACGGUGAGUUCUAAUAAAGCUUGCUAAUGACGGUACCUGAAGAAUAAGCACCGGCUAACUACGUG